CCAGCAUGAUCCCGUACAUCCGGGAAGAAGAAGAAGAGGCGGAGGAACCGAACGGUGUAAACAAACCGGGAUUCGGUGUUUCGGCGGCUCCGGUGUGAACGAGACGAGACGAUGGAGACGUUGAGUCGACGAACUCUGGACAGGAUCUACUCUGCGGUCCUGGUGGCGAUCGUGGUCUUGUCCUGGUCGUACGUGAUCUACGCCAGCAGAGUGGCAGCUCAUUGGCUGCUGGAGACGAGGACCGCCGCCCUCCGCCAGGACUGACGGCGCUUGUGGUCGAGCUGUCAUGACGUCUGUCUUCAUAUUCAGUCCGUGUUCUGUGUUCACAUGAGCUGAUGGACCAUUCAAAUCCACUGUCCUGAGGUUCACGACCCCCAAGAAGCUUCCAGGAAAAACAGGAUCUGAAAGGAAACUGGUUUGGAAUCGAGCGCUGCGUUAAAAAAAAAAUAAGUCUGCGGCAUUGUGGGAGAACAACGACCACAUAACCGAGACGUGGGUGUCUCCUGGGGGACGGCGUCGGGAGGGACAACGUGACGGGGAAACGACGGCAGGCACCCGAAGGAGAAAAGAUCAGAAGCUUCAAACUCAGAAAGCUCGUCUGCUGCUUUGAACUUUAACAUCGUCACCACAUGUGACGAGUAACAGUCCCAACAAGCCCACGUUAUUUAUUUAAUGUGUAAUAAGAAUAAUAACUCUUUCAUUUCUGUCCAAGAGCUAAAGUUUCUCUGAUUUCAGCCUCUUUUUUUAAUCCACUGAGUCAUAAAUAAAAUAUUUUUGUCAAACCAAAA